rnacentral:rRNA from 1 species
CAGCAGUCGCCGCGGUAAUACGUAGGGUGCAAGCGUUAAUCGGAAUUACUGGGCGUAAAGCGUGCGCAGGCGGUUAUGCAAGACAGAUGUGAAAUCCCCGGGCUCAACCUGGGAACUGCAUUUGUGACUGCAUGACUAGAGUACGGCAGAGGGGGAUGGAAUUCCGCGUGUAGCAGUGAAAUGCGUAGAUAUGCGGAGGAACACCGAUGGCGAAGGCAAUCCCCUGGGCCUGUACUGACGCUCAUGCACGAAAGCGUGGGGAGCAAACAGGAUUAGAUACCCCCGUAGUCCCUGUCUCUUAUAC